AUGAACUGGCCAGUCAUAUAGGAGAGGUGUUAAUGAACUGGCCAGUCAUAUUGGAGAGGUGUUAAUGAAACGGCCAGUCAUAUUGGAGAGGUGUUAAUGAACUGGCCAGUCAUAUUGGCUAGGUGUUAAUGAACUGGCCAAUCAUAUUGGCCAGGUGUUAAUGAACUGGCCAGGUGUUAAUGAACUGGCCAGGUGUUAAUGAACUGGCCAGUCAUAUUGGCUAGGUGUUUAUGAACCGGCCAGUCAUAUUGGAGAGGUGUUAAUGAACCGGCCAGGUGUUAAUGAACUGGCCAGGUGUUAACGAACUGGCCAGGUGUUAAUGAACUGGCCAGGUGUUAAUGAACUGGCCAGGUGUUUAUGAACCGGCCAGUCAUAUUGGAGAGGUGUUAAUGAACUGACCAGUCAUAUUGGCUAGGUGUUAAUGAACUGGCCAGGUGUUAAUGAACUGGCCAGGUGUUAAUGAACUGGCCAGGUGUUUAUGAACCGGCCAGUCAUAUUGGAGAGGUGUUAAUGAACUGACCAGUCAUAUUGGCUAGGUGUUAAUGAACUGGCCAGGUGUUAAUGAACUGGCCAGGUGUUAAUGAACUGGCCAGGUGUUUAUGAACCGGCCAGUCAUAUUGGAGAGGUGUUAAAGAACUGGCCAGUCAUAUUGGAGAGGUGUUAAUGAACUGGCCAGUCAUAUAGGAGAGGUGUUAAUGAACUGGCCAGUCAUAUUGGAGAGGUGUUAAUGAAACGGCCAGUCAUAUUGGAGAGGUGUUAAUGAACUGGCCAGUCAUAUUGGAGAGAUGUUAAUGAACCGGCCAGUCAUAUUGGAGAGGUGUUAAUGAACUGGCCAGUCAUAUUGGCUAGGUGUUAAUGAACUGGCCAAUCAUAUUGGCCAGGUGUUAAUGAACUGGCCAGGUGUUAAUGAACUGGCCAGGUGUUAAUGAACUGGCCAGUCAUAUUGGCUAGGUGUUUAUGAACCGGCCAGUCAUAUUGGAGAGGUGUUAAUGAACCGGCCAGGUGUUAAUGAACUGGCCAGGUGUUAACGAACUGGCCAGGUGUUAAUGAACUGGCCAGGUGUUAAUGAACUGGCCAGGUGUUAAUGAACUGGCCAGGUGUUUAUGAACCGGCCAGUCAUAUUGGAGAGGUGUUAAAGAACUGGCUAGUCAUAUUGGAGAGGUGUUAAUGAACUGGCCAGUCAUAUAGGAGAGGUGUUAAUGAACUGGCCAGUCAUAUUGGAGAGGUGUUAAUGAACCGGCCAGUCAUAUUGGAGAGGUGUUAAUGAACUGGCCAGUCAUAUUGGCUAGGUGUUAAUGAACUGGCCAGUCAUAUUGGCCAGGUGUUAAUGAACUGGCCAGGUGUUAAUGAACUGGCCAGGUGUUAACGAACUGGCCAGGUGUUAAUGAACUGGCCAGGUGUUAAUGAACUGGCCAGUCAUAUUGGAGAGGUGUUAAUGAACUGGCCAGUCAUAUUGGAGAGGUGUUAAUGAACUGACCAGUCAUAUUGGAGAGGUGUUAAUGAACCGGCCAGUCAUAUAGGAGACGUGUUAAUGAACCGGCCAGUCAUAUAGGAGACGUGUUAAUGAACUGGCCAGGUGUUAAUGAACUGGCCAGGUGUUAAUGAACUGGCCAGUCAUAUUGGAGAGGUGUUAAUGAAGUGGCCAGUCAUAUUGGCCAGGUGUUAAUGAACUGGCCAGUCAUAUUGGCCAGGUGUUAAUGAACUGGCCAGUCAUAUUGGCUAGGUGUUAAUGAACUGGCCAGUCAUAUUGGCCAGGUGUUAAUGAACUGGCCAGUCAUAUUGGAGAGGUGUUAAUGAACCGGCCAGUCAUAUUGGAGAGGUGUUUAUGAACUGGCCAGUCAUAUUGGCCAGGUGUUAAUGAACUGGCCAGUCAUAUUGGCCAGGUGUUAAUGAACUGGCCAGGUGUUAAUGAACUGGCCAGUCAUAUUGGAGAGGUGUUAAUGAACCGGCCAGUCAUAUUGGAGAGGUGUUAAUGAACUGACCAGUCAUAUUGGAGAGGUGUUAAUGAACCGGCCAGUCAUAUUGGAGAGGUGUUAAUGAACUGACCAGUCAUAUUGGAGAGGUGUUAAUGAACCGGCCAGUCAUAUUGGAGAGGUGUUAAUGAACUGGCCAGUCAUAUUGGAGAGGUGUUAAUGAACCGGCCAGUCAUAUUGGAGAGGUGUUAAUGAACUGACCAGUCAUAUUGGAGAGGUGUUAAUGAACCGGCCAGUCAUAUUGGAGAGGUGUUUAUGAACCGGCCAGUCAUAUUGGAGAGGUGUUAAUGAACUGACCAGUCAUAUUGGAGAGGUGUUAAUGAAGUGGCCAGUCAUAUUGGCCAGGUGUUAAUGAACUGGCCAGGUGUUAAUGAACUGGCCAGGUGUUUAUGAACCGGCCAGUCAUAUUGGCCAGGUGUUAAUGAACUGGCCAGUCAUAUUGGCUAGGUGUUAAUGAAGUGGCCAGUCAUAUAGGAGAGGUGUUAAUGAAGUGGCCAGUCAUAUUGGAGAGUUAAUGAGGUGAGCCUCAGUGCAGCAUAUUUGUUUUCCUCUAGCUGACUCCUCCCCCUCCUGCCUUUCCGUCCCCAGCCUGUCCGAACAAGUCUCAGUGCAGCAUAUUUGUUUUCCUCUAGCUGACUCCUCCCCCUCCUGCCUUUCCGUCCCCAGCCUGUCCUAACAAGUCUCAGUGCAGCAUAUUUGUUUUCCUCUAGCUGACUCCUCCCCCUCCUGCCUUUCCGUCCCCAGCCUGUCCGAACAAGUCUCAGUGCAGCAUAUUUGUUUUCCUCUAGCUGACUCCUCCCCUCCUGCCUUUCCGUCCCCAGCCUGUCCUAACAAGUCUCAGUGCAGCAUAUUUGUUUUCCUCUAGCUGACUCCUCCCCCUCCUGCCUUUCCGUCCCCAGCCUGUCCUAACAAGUCUCAGUGCAGCAUAUUUGUUUUCCUCUAGCUGAC